AACGAACGCUGGCGGCAUGCCUAACACAUGCAAGUCGAACGAGACCUUCGGAUCUAGUGGCGCACGGGUGCGUAACGCGUGGGAACCUGCCCUUAGGUUCGGAAUAACUCCCCGAAAGGGGUGCUAAUACCGGAUAAUGUCUUCGGACCAAAGAUUUAUCGCCUUUGGAUGGGCCCGCGUUGGAUUAGCUAGUUGGUAGGGUAAAAGCCUACCAAGGCGACGAUCCAUAGCUGGUCUGAGAGGAUGAUCAGCCACACUGGGACUGAGACACGGCCCAGACUCCUAGGGGGGGCAGGAUUGGGGAAUUUUGGAAAAGGGGCGAAAGCCUGUCCCAGAAAGGCCGGGGGGGGGAGGAAGGCCUUGGGUUUGAAAAGCCUUUUUCCCCGGGUUGAUAAUGAAAGUACCGGGAGAAAAAGCCCCGGCUAACCCCGU
rnacentral:rRNA from 1 species